rnacentral:lncRNA from 1 species
AUGGCUGGAAUUGCUGAUCCUGUGAUUCCUUGUGCCUGGAUCACAGCAGAGCCCUGGGCUCAGACUGCAGCUGUCCCACAGGGAACGCUCCCCACACGCUCCUGCCCCUUCUUUGGAGCUGGUUUGAACCAACAAACCCGGUUUAAAUUGUCAUUUACUCAGAGCCAUCCGCUGGGAAUCUCCUGGGCUGUGCUGCAUUCCCGGGAUGGGGAGAUCCCCGGGAUCCUGCCGGGCUCUGGAGGCACAGCCUGGCAGCUCCAGGGAAUGCUGGCCUUGCCUGGGGGAGCCCAGGGCACAGAGGGGAGCCUGGAGCCUGCCUGGGGCUGCUGGGGCACCUCUGGGGCUGCUGGGCUGGCAGGGGGGGCACCGCACCCAGGGCAUCCCAAAAACACCCACUGCACCCCAAAAACACCCACUGCAUCCCAAAAACACCCAGGGCAUCCCAAAAACACCCAGGGCAUCCCAAAAACACCCAGGGCAUCCCAGGGCAUCCCAAAAACACUCACUGCAUCCCAAAAACACUCACUGCAUCCCAAAAACACCCAGGGCAUCCCAAAAACACUCACUGCAUCCCAAAAACACCCACUGCAUCCCAAAAACACUCACUGCAUCCCAAAAACACCCAGCUGCAUCCCAAAAACACCCAGGGCAUCCCAAAAACACCCAGGGCAUCCCAAAAACACCCACUGCAUCCCAAAAACACCCAGGGCAUCCCAAAAACACCCACUGCAUCCCAAAAACACCCACUGCAUCCCAAAAACACCCACUGCAUCCCAAAAACACCCACUGCAUCCCAAAAACACCCAGGGCAUCCCAAAAGCACCCAGCUGCAUCCCAAAAACACCCACUGCAUCCCAAAAACACCCACUGCAUCCCAAAAACACCCACUGCAUCCCAAAAACACCCAGGGCAUCCCAAAAACACCCACUGCAUCCCAAAAACACCCACUGCAUCCCAAAAACACCCACUGCACCCCACUGCACCCCACUGCCUCCCAGCACUCCCAGCACUCCCAGGCAUCCCCUGGCCCGUGGGCCCUGUCCCCGCAGUAAUUCCCGGCGGGAUGAGGCUCCCGGGGGAGGAAGGGCUGGAGCAGCCCUGGCAGGAGCUCUGUGCUCCCUUAAUGCCUCCCUGACCUGCUUUGCCCCUAAGGAGCUUUUCCUCCAGGGCUGCGAUUUCCAGCCUCACUGA